CAGUAGCCACGGGAAUGCGUAGGUGGCGAGCGUUGUCCGGAAUUAUUGGGCGUAAAGGGAGCGCAGGCGGAUAUAUAAGUCCAUCUUAAAAGUGCGGGGCUCAACCCCGUGAGGGGAUGGAAACUGUAUGCCUUGAGUGCAGGAGAGGAAAGCGGAAUUCCCAGUGUAGCGGUGAAAUGCGUAGAUAUUGGGAGGAACACCAGUGGCGAAGGCGACUCUCUGGUCUGUAACUGACGCUGAGGAGCGAAAGCGUGGGGAGCGAACAGGAUUAGAUACCCCCGUAGUCCCUGUCUCUUAUACA
rnacentral:rRNA from 1 species